GCUUUGACAGAGUUUUCCAGUGCCUCAAAACGAUUGUAGUUGCGAGGAUAAUAGGGAAUCAGGUGAGAGUCCUGAGCGAUCCGGUCACUGUAAGCAGGGAGUGAUGUCAUAUGCCGGAGAUUUUCGAAGGUAGCCAUUGCGUGGGAGAUCCAUGUGAGAAGGUUUGGCAAAGCGUUGAUCUGUAAGUCAGAAAACCUGCUGGGAGAGUUGGUGAAGA
rnacentral:ncRNA from 2 species